rnacentral:rRNA from 1 species
UACGGAGGGAGCUAGCGUUGUUCGGAAUUACUGGGCGUAAAGGGCGCGUAGGCGGCAAGGCAAGUCAGGUGUGAAAGCCCCGAGCUUAACUCGGGAAUUGCAUCUGAAACUGCUGUGCUUGAGUUCUGGAGGGGGUAGUGGAAUUCCCAGUGUAGCGGUGAAAUGCGUAGAUAUUGGGAGGAACACCUGCGGCGAAGGCGGCUACCUGGACAGAAACUGACGCUGAGGCGCGAAAGCUAGGGGAGCGAACGGG